UUCCCUUUGUCAUCCUAUGCCUGGAAAUCAGAGUGGGGCAGGGACAGCAAAGGGAUGC
rnacentral:pre_miRNA from 2 species